GGGGAGCCCUGAUGCAGCGACGCCGCGUGCGGGAUGGAGGCCUUCGGGUCGUGAACCGCUUUUACAGGGGAGCAAGCUUUCGGGUGAGUUAACUUUGUGAAUAAGCACCGGCUAACUACGUGCCAGCAGCCGCGGUAAUACGUAGGGUGCAAGCGUUGUCCGGAUUUAUUGGGCGUAAAGGGCUCGUAGGCGGUUCGUCGCGUCUGGUGUGAAAGCCCGCUGCUUAACGGUGGGUUUGCGUUGGAUACGGGCGGGCUUGAGUGCAGUAGGGGAGACUGGAAUUCUCGGUGUAACGGUGGAAUGUGUAGAUAUCGGGAAGAACACCUAUGGCGAAGGCAGGUCUCUGGGCUGUUACUGACGCUGAGGAGCGAAAGCGUGGGGAGCGAACAGGAUUAGAUACCCUGGUAGUCCACGCUGUAAACGGUGGACGCUGGAUGUGGGGCCCAUUUCCACGGGUUCCGUGUCGGAGCUAACGCGUUAAGCGUCCCGCCUGGGGAGUACGGCCGCAAGGCUAAAACUCAAAGAAAUUGACGGGGGCCCGCACAAGCGGCGGAGCAUGCGGAUUAAUUCGAUGCAACGCGAAGAACCUUACCAGGGCUUGACAUGUUGACGAUCGCCUCAGAGAUGGGGCUUCCCUUCGGGGCGUCUUCACAGGUGGUGCAUGGUCGUCGUCAGCUCGUGUCGUGAGAUGUUGGGUUAAGUCC
rnacentral:rRNA from 1 species